CGCCUUAUACUCCUACGGGAGGCAGCAGUGGGGAAUAUUGGACAAUGGGCGAAAGCCUGAUCCAGCAAUGCCGCGUGAGUGAUGAAGGCCUUAGGGUUGUAAAGCUCUUUUACCCGGGAUGAUAAUGACAGUACCGGGAGAAUAAGCCCCGGCUAACUCCGUGCCAGCAGCCGCGGUAAUACGGAGGGGGCUAGCGUUGUUCGGAAUUACUGUGCGUAAAGCGCACGUAGGCGGCUUUGUAAGUUAGAGGUGAAAGCCCAGAGCUCAACUCUGGAACUGCCUUUAAGACUGCAUCGCUUGAAUCAUGGAGAGGUUAGUGGAAUUCCGAGUGUAGAGGUGAAAUUCGUAGAUAUUCGGAAGAACACCAGUGGCGAAGGCGACUAACUGGACAUGUAUUGACGCUGAGGUGCGAAAGCGUGGGGAGCAAACAGGAUUAGAUACCCGUGUAGUCCACGUACCA
rnacentral:rRNA from 1 species